AGUGAACGCUGGCGGUAGGCCUAACACAUGCAAGUCGAACGGCAGCACAGUAAGAGCUUGCUCUUACGGGUGGCGAGUGGCGGACGGGUGAGGAAUACAUCGGAAUCUACUUUUUCGUGGGGGAUAACGUAGGGAAACUUACGCUAAUACCGCAUACGACCUACGGGUGAAAGCAGGGGAUCUUCGUACCUUGCGCGAUUGAAUGAGCCGAUGUCGGAUUAGCUAGUUGGCGGGGUAAAGGCCCACCAAGGCGACGAUCCGUAGCUGGUCUGAGAGGAUGAUCAGCCACACUGGAACUGAGACACGGUCCAGACUCCUACGGGAGGCAGCAGUGGGGAAUAUUGGACAAUGGGCGCAAGCCUGAUCCAGCCAUACCUCGUGGGUGAAGAAGGCCUUCGGGUUGUAAAGCCCUUUUGUUGGGAAAGAAAAGCAGCAGGUUAAUACCCCGCUGUUCUGACGGUACCCAAAGAAUAAGCACCGGCUAACUUCGUG
rnacentral:rRNA from 1 species